GAGUACUGGUCACUUUUAUUGAACCUAAAGCGUUCGUAGCCGGUUUUGUAAAUCUUCAGAUAAAGCCUGAAGCUUAACUCCAGAAAGUCUGAAGAGACUGCAAGACUUGAGAUCGGGUGAGGUUAAACGUACUUUCAGGGUAGGGGUAAAAUCCUGUAAUCCCGGAAGGACGACCAGUGGCGAAAGCGUUUAACUAGAACGAAUCUGACGGUAAGGAACGAAGGCUANGGUAGCAAACCGGAUUAGAUACCCGGGUAGUCCUAGCUGUAAACAUUGCCCAUUUGAUGUUGCUUUUCCGUUGAGGGAAGGCAGUGUCGGAGCGAAGGUGUUAAAUGGGCCGCUUGGGAAGUAUGGUCGCAAGACUGAAACUUAAAGGAAUUGGCGGGGGAGCACCGCAACGGGAGGAAUGUGCGGUUUAAUUGGAUUCAACGCCGGAAAACUCACCGGGAACGACCUGUGCAUGAGAGUCAACCUGACGAGCUUACUCGAUAGCAGGAGAGGUGGUGCAUGGCCGUCGUCAGCUCGUACCGUAGGGCGUUCACUUAAGUGUGAUAACGAGCGAGACCCACAUCUUUAAUUGCAAAUGUAUAUGAGAAUAUGCAUGCACUUUAGAGAAACCGCCAGCGCUAAGCUGGAGGAAGGAGUGGUCGACGGCAGGUCAGUACGCCCCGA
rnacentral:rRNA from 1 species